CGUCGCCGCGGGAAUACGGAGGGUGCAAGCGUUAAUCGGAAUUACUGGGCGUAAAGCGCACGCAGGCGGUCUGUCAAGUCAGAUGUGAAAUCCCCGGGCUUAACCUGGGAACUGCAUUUGAAACUGGCAGGCUAGAGUCUUGUAGAGGGGGGUAGAAUUCCAGGUGUAGCGGUGAAAUGCGUAGAGAUCUGGAGGAAUACCGGUGGCGAAGGCGGCCCCCUGGACAAAGACUGACGCUCAGGUGCGAAAGCGUGGGGAGCAAACAGGAUUAGAUACCCCUGUAGUCCCUGUCUCUUAUACC
rnacentral:rRNA from 1 species